AGUGAACGCUGGCGGUAGGCCUAACACAUGCAAGUCGAACGGCAGCACAGUAAGAGCUUGCUCUUACGGGUGGCGAGUGGCGGACGGGUGAGGAAUACAUCGGAAUCUACUUUUUCGUGGGGGAUAACGUAGGGAAACUUACGCUAAUACCGCAUACGACCUACGGGUGAAAGCAGGGGAUCUUCGGACCUUGCGCGAUUGAAUGAGCCGAUGUCGGAUUAGCUAGUUGGCGGGGUAAAGGCCCACCAAGGCGAGGAUCCGUAGCUGGUCUGAGAGGAUGAUCGGCCACACUGGAACUGAGACACGGUCCAGACUCCUACGGGAGGCAGCAGUGGGGAAUAUUGGACAAUGGGCGCAAGCCUGAUCCAGCCAGACCGCGUGGGUGAAGAAGGCCUUCGGGUUGUAAAGCCCUUUUGUUGGGAAAGAAAAGCAGCAGGUUAAUACCCCGCUGUUCUGACGGUACCCAAAGAAUAAGCACCGGCUAACUUCGUG
rnacentral:rRNA from 1 species